GCUCACCUCACCUAACAGUUAUUGACCAUACUCUUUAGUUAAGGCCAAUUCACUGUUCACAAGCAAGUGCAAGACCAUCAUUGGAUCUCUCACCUAACAGUUAUUGGGCCCAAUCCCAUCCUCACCCUAGAGCAACUCUUUGCUAAUAGAGUGGUUGCGUGUUUUCGAUGCAACUGAACCAUUGUAACUAGUCGAGAACAAUCAACACCAGUAGCACGCUCGUACAUCUACA
rnacentral:lncRNA from 1 species